GGAACUUAAGUUCUUAUAAAGAUGUCUUUAAAAUCAAUGAACUGAGUAUUAGCUUCGUACAUUCAUUCAUAGGUGGCCGUCAGAUGGCGGCAACUGUAUUACUGAUUGCCUGCCUCGACUGAAUAAUUAAGCCUUUCGCCAUUUUGUCCCCCUUUAGAGUUUCAUUCCUUUGAAGAACGGUUUUUCAAGUGAUUAUCUUCCUUUUUACAAGCUUUUCGUACCGGAAAAAUUCGUGACUUUUGAAAUUUUUCGCGUUUUCCGUGUCGCAUAAUACUCAACAGUUAUUCCGACUCAUCGUUUAUAAAGAAGAACAAUUAAGCUGCCAUUACACAAUGCAGAUUUUCAACGGAAGG